GAGCAAUUCUUUCUAGUCCAGAUCCUGCAGUUAUCCAUGGGGCAGUAGGUCAGAGACCCUUCUCUGGACCUUAAUUUCCUAUCUGCACACCAGAGGACUACUGAAGAACCCUGGAGUCGCCAGUGGGGCUGGACCCUUACCAUGGCAUUCUGGCACCAGAACAGGACCACUCCCAGCUAGUCACUCAUAGGAACAUUGAACAGAAUGAGUUCAAGAACAGAAACUUCAGAAGAUUUGUCUGAACUGAUGCAGAAUGAAGUGAGUAGAACCAAGAGGUAAUUUAUACAAUAACUACAGUGUUAUGAAGGCAAACAGCUUUGAAAAACUUGGGACCUCUGAUCAAUGCAGUGGCUAACAAGGAUUGCAGAAAACCCAUGAUAAUAGGUUACUCACUUUCUACAAAAACCUACAGACUUCCUAUGAAAUCAGCUGCCUCACUUCAGAAAUGGGAUGGAUUCAGGGUGUAUGUUGCAACAGAUAUUUUUUGAGAUUGGGAAUUAGUUUUCCUUGAUUGUCUAUGUGACAUCAU